AGUGAACGCUGGCGGUAGGCCUAACAUAUGCAAGUCGAACGGCAGCACAGUAAGAGCUUGCUCUUACGGGUGGCGAGUGGCGGACGGGUGAGGAAUACAUCGGAAUCUACUUUUUCGUGGGGGAUAACGUAGGGAAACUUACGAUAAUACCGCAUACGACCUACGGGUGAAAGCAGGGGAUCUUCGGACCUUGCGCGAUUGAAUGAGCCGAUGUCGGAUUAUCUAGUUGGCGGGGUAAAGGCCCACCAAGGCGACGAUCCGUAGGUGGGCUGAGAGGACGAUUAGGGACACUGGAAAUGAGAAACGUUCCAGACAACUGAAAGAGACUACAGUGGGGAAUAUUAGACAGUGGGCGGAAUCCUGUACCAGCCAUAGCGCGUGGGUGAAGAAGGCCUUCGUGUUGUAUAGACCUUUUGUUGGGAAAGAAAAGCAUCAGGUUAAUACCCCGCUGUUCUGACGGUACCCAAAGAACAAGCUACGGCUAACUUCGGG
rnacentral:rRNA from 1 species